UAUCUUUUGAGUAUGAUAAGUACAUUUGCCUUCCAAGUAAAAAGUUUAAAUAAUUUAAAAAAGAUAA
rnacentral:tRNA from 1 species